UGGAGAGUUUGAUCCUGGCUCAGGACGAACGCUGGCGGCGUGCCUAAUACAUGCAAGUCGAGCGAGGGUCUUCGGACCCUAGCGGCGGACGGGUGAGUAACACGUAGGCAACCUGCCUGUAAGACUGGGAUAACAUAGGGAAACUUAUGCUAAUACCGGAUAGGGUUUUGCUUCGCCUGAAGCGAAACGGAAAGAUGGCGCAAGCUAUCACUUACAGAUGGGCCUGCGGCGCAUUAGCUAGUUGGUGAGGUAAUGGCUCACCAAGGCGACGAUGCGUAGCCGACCUGAGAGGGUGACCGGCCACACUGGGACUGAGACACGGCCCAGACUCCUACGGGAGGCAGCAGUAGGGAAUUUUCCACAAUGGACGAAAGUCUGAUG
rnacentral:rRNA from 1 species